GCUGGCAGUUGGGAGGCAGGUCUGAAAACAGGAAACAACAGCCCUUAUCCGCAGGAAAGAAAGACAGCAAGCUUUGGCUUUAUGGUGCAUUUGAUGGGGCAGGCGGGGAG